rnacentral:rRNA from 1 species
UUUUUGGGUUCGGGGAAGGAAAGGGUUACGAGGCUAAUACCCUGGACUGUUGACGGUACCGGCAGAAUAAGCACCGGCUAACUACGUGC